rnacentral:rRNA from 1 species
UGAGCAAUCUGCCCUUCACAUCGGAAUAAGCGUUGGAAACGACGUCUAAUGCCGAAUACGACCUCCUUUCGCAUGAUCGGAGGUGGAAAGCUCCGGCGGAGAAGGAUGAGCUCGCGGCCUAUCAGCUAGUUGGUGUGGGUAAUGGCCCACCAAGGCGACGGACGGGUAGCCGGCCUGGAGAGGGUGACCCGGCCACACGUGGGACUGAGACCACCGGCCCAGACCUCCGUACGGGAGCAG